rnacentral:rRNA from 1 species
CACGCUGUAAACGAUGACGACUGGGUGUUUCGGGUAUUGACCCCCGAGGUGCCGAAGCCAACGCGUUAAGUCGUCCGCCUGGGAAGUACGGCCGCAAGGCUAAAACUCAAAGGAAUUGACGGGGGCCCGCACAAGCGGUGGAGCAUGUGGUUUAAUUCGACGCAACGCGAAGAACCUUACCUGGACUCGAAAAUGCACGAAGUCGGCUGAAAGGCUGAUGUGCUCGCAAGAGAGCGUGUAUCAGGUGC